rnacentral:rRNA from 1 species
AGUAAUACAAGGCAUACGGCUCAGUAACGCGUAGUCAACCUACCCUAUGGACGGGGAUAAUCUCGGGAAACUGAGCAUAAUACCCGGCAGACCACUUAUCCUGGAAUGGUUAGUGGUUAAAAUGAUUCGUCGCCAUAGGAUGGGACUGCGGCCUAUCAGCUUGUUGGUGAGGUAAUGGCCCACCAAGGCGAUUACAGGUACGGGCUCUGAGAGGAGAGGCCCGGAGAUGGGUACUGAGACAAGGACCCAGGCCCUAUGGGGCGCAGCAGGCGAGAAAACUUUGCAAUGUGCGAAAGCACGACAAGGUUAAUCCGAGUGAUUUCUGCUAAAGGAAUCUUUUGUUAGUUCUAAAAAUACUAGUGAAUAAGGGGUGGGCAAGUUCUGGUGUCAGCCGCCGCGGUAAAACCAGCACCUCAAGUGGUCAGGAGGAUUAUUGGGCCUAAAGCAUCCGUAGCCUGUUCUAUAAGUUUGCGGUUAAAUCUAUACGCUCAACGUAUAGGCUGCCGUAAAUACUGUAGAACUAGGGAGUGGGAGAGGUAGACGGUACUCGAUAGGAAGGGGUAAAAUCCUUUGAUCUAUUGAUGACCACCUGUGGCGAAGGCGGUCUACCA